AUGGGCGCAAGCCUGACGGAGCAAUACCGCGUGAGGGAGGAAGGUCCUUGGAUUGUAAACCUCUUUUAUCAGGGAAGAAAAAAAUGACGGUACCUGAUGAAUAAGCAUCGGCUAACUCCGUGCCAGCAGCCGCGGUAAUACGGAGGAUGCAAGCGUUAUCCGGAAUUAUUGGGCGUAAAGCGUCCGUAGGUGGUCAUGCAAGUCUGCCGUUAAAGAAUGGAGCUUAACUCCAUAGGAGCGGUGGAAACUGCAAGACUAGAGUACAGUAGGGGUAGCAGGAAUUCCCAGUGUAGCGGUGAAAUGCGUAGAUAUUGGGAAGAACAUCGGUGGCGAAAGCGUGCUACUGGGCUGAAACUGACACUGAGGGACGAAAGCUAGGGGAGCGAAAGGGAUUA
rnacentral:rRNA from 1 species